rnacentral:lncRNA from 1 species
CUUGGAGGCAGAAUCCAUGUAAGAUCCAGAUCUGAUCCACCCGGCACCCAGCACAGGAGGUUGGGGCCGGAAGCCCCUUCCGUUGCAGCCCCAUGACCAGGGUAGCUUUGUCUGACAAGCUAAGUCUCACACAUCCUCCCCUCCUGGCUUCUUUCACAUGUCCCAACUUAAUUGAUUUAAUAGAACUUUGUGGGACUCACCAACCAAGCAUGAAAUGGACCCGCGUGCUGCCGGGAGCCACCCAGUUAAUUAAAAGGCUGCAGAAAAACGAAGAUGCUGGAUACGAAUCAAAAUAAGUAAUUGCCAAAUUAGUCACCACCUGUGUCUUGUUGUCAACAGAGCCCAGUCUUCCUUUCACUCCCUGCCUGCUCAGAUUGCACAAUGAGGUCUCAACCGAAAGGCAAGAGUAAGAAAUGAGAGUGUUUCAGAGAUAGGACGUGCUCCUGCAUUUACUCUGGGGAAAUUCCAUCGACUCUGUUGGCAUUUAUUAGGCACCUACUACAUAUCUGACACUCUGCUGGGCACCGGAGACAUGGUGGUGAAGAAGGCUUUCGUAUCCAAGAGCUGAACAGAUGUAUUCUUCAAAGACAGCAGAAGGAUUCUGCUUGGUCCAGAUCCAAUUGCACCCUCCAGAGCAUCUGCGGAAGGAGGACCAAGGCUUCGCCAGCCUCCCAGAGUGGGUGACUGGGUUCCCUGCGGGUCUUUUCUUGGGCCAGGUCUUUGCUGUUCACAUCGCAACUCAUAUAUUACCUCGUCAGGGAAGCAUUCCUUCACCUAAUCCAAGAAGCCACUCUCCAAAAUAACUCAGCUACAGUAUUUGGAAGCUUAAAACUUUGAGAAAUAUAUGUCUAUAAAUCAUUGUAUUUUUUUAGAAGACAGUGUUGUGGUUGUUUUCUUCAUUUUCUUUAU